UACGUAGGGUGCGAGCGUUGCCCGGAUUUAUUGGGCGUAAAGGGCGCGUAGGCGGCUACGCACGUCCGUUGUGAAAUCGCUCGGCUCAACUGGGCGGGGUCAGCGGAUACGGCGUAGCUGGAGCAAGCUAGGGGGCAAUGGAAUUCCCGGUGUAGUGGUGGAAUGCGUAGAUAUCGGGAGGAACACCAGUGGCGAAGGCGGUUGCCUGGAGCUUUGCUGACGCUGAUGCGCGAAAGCGUGGGGAGCGAGUCCGG
rnacentral:rRNA from 1 species